CUCCAUGCUAGGUAUUGUCCUGAGGGAACCGUGGGGAAGAACUAACUAAAGUCCCGCAGGAUUGACUAGCAAUCCUGAACAUACCUCAUGGACUUCACCCUAUGUAUGUAGAUGUGAUCAACAGAUUGAUCAAAGAGGGGAUUGAAGUGUUAAACCCAACACAUUGUCUGUAUUCAUGCUGACUAUUUUGUCACAAGACAUACUUUUGAUGAAGAGUUCAUCAUACCAUCGCUUAAUUGAUUCACUACUUCAGCACAACUCUCUCCACCUGGUUUUCCCACGCUGUGUAAAAUGACAAAGAGCACUCUGAUUGGCUUAAACCCACCAAUCAGAGUGUUCUUAGCCUAAUUGCAGGGCGGGGCAAGGCUUUAUAAGCCUUCCCCCGCCCUGCGGAGCUCAGUCUGCGCGGAGCCCUCCAUGGCAGCUGACUGCUGCCGAUCAAGCUAGCCAACGAUAUUUUUUGUCGGGUUCAUCUGUG